rnacentral:rRNA from 1 species
UACGUAGGCAGCAAGCGUUGUUCGGAAUUACUGGGCGUAAAGAGUGUGUAGGCGGUGCUCCAAGUCUGGUGUGAAAUCUCCCGGCUUAACUGGGAGGGUGCAUUAGAAACUGGAAUGCUAGAGGAUGGGAGAGGUAAGCGGAAUUCCUGGUGUAGCGGUGAAAUGCGCAGAUAUCAGGAGGAACACCAAUUGCGAAGGCAGCUCGCUGGAACGUUACUGACGCCUGAGACGCGAAAAGCGUGGGGGAGCAAACAGG